rnacentral:rRNA from 1 species
AUUGAACGCUGGCGGCAUGCCUUACACAUGCAAGUCGAACGGUAACGCGGGGCAACCUGGCGACGAGUGGCGAACGGGUGAGUAAUGUAUCGGAACGUGCCCAGUUGUGGGGGAUAACUGCUCGAAAGAGCAGCUAAUACCGCAUACGACCUGAGGGUGAAAGCGGGGGAUCGCAAGACCUCGCGCAAUUGGAGCGGCCGAUAUCAGAUUAGGUAGUUGGUGGGGUAAAGGCCCACCAAGCCAACGAUCUGUAGCUGGUCUGAGAGGACGACCGGCAACACUGGGACUGAGACACGGCCCAGAGUCCUACGGGAGGCAGCAGUGGGGAAUUUUGGACAAUGGACGCAAGUCUGAUCCAGCCAUGCCGCGUGCGGGAAGAAGGCCUUCGGGUUGUAAACCGCUUUUGUCAGGGAAGAAAAGGGCGACUCUAAUACAGUUGCCUCAUGACGGUACCUGAAGAAUAAGCACCGGCUAACUACGUGCCAGCCGCCGCAGUAAAAC